GUAUAAGAGAAUCACCACUUUAAAAGGUGUCUCUUUGCUCAGUUAGCAGUUGAUACACAUUUGCUAUGCUCCUCCCUCUUUAGGGCUUCCUAGGUUAUUCCAGACUCCAGUGCUAAAACACUGUUUAUUCCUGGACUAUUUCCUCAUAGACAUGUCAGCCAUGCCAAACACUCCAGCAGGGGUGUAAACCAAACUGGGGUGGUGUUAAUGGAACUAUUCUGGAAAGCUAGCAUAAUGUCCCAAGAUUACUUUUGGGUUUCCUACUAGGUGUGGAAACUUGAAUGUUUUUCACCCUAAAAAGCCUCUUCCCAGGUGUCAACCAGACCAUUAACACUGUGAUAGUGAGGAGGGAGUGAUACAGCUUUAUCUAAACUCCUUUUGAGGCUGAAGGCAGGAGGCGAGGAGUGCAGAAGAACAUCAAGGAAUUUCCCUUUCCAGACCAUGGGUACAGGAGAUAAGGCUUGUAAAGACGGACCAUUGUGAUGUCAGAGUGAGAGGAGUGAAGAACACUUUCUGAGAUAAGGACUCUGGAGAUGGCAUAAUUGCACCCCAAUUAAGGACCUGAAGGUGAAGACCAUCAAAGGCUGAGAAGAGCAUAAUAACACGGGGCCUGGACCAGAAGGGCAGAGGGCUGCAUCUCAUCCCCUCUCCUCUAUUCAUGGGAAAGCUGUGGGCUAGCCACCCACCAACGCUUUCCUGCUCCUUGCCAGGUCAUGAAGAAAGUCAAGAGAAAUUCCAAAGGAUGGGUGAAGUAGAGUUCAGAUGGCCUGAGACUACACCCAAGAUAAAAAAGGAGGGAUCAGCGAAUGGUAGAAUGGGUGGAAACCAUCUGCAGAGACCCAGAAAUUCAGACUAGUUCCUGGAACUGGAUUAGGACAACCAAUCAGGACUGAGAGGUGUCACCCACACCGCAUCAUCACCACCACCCAUAUGGGAAGUAAUAAAAGGUUAAGGAACAUUAACCUAGCUCCUAGCUACAACUUUGCAACUCCAGAGUGUCAUGCCCAGCAGUGGUCCACACUUUGGCAAAGAACUUUGUGCCUGAUGGCUUGGAGCCCUAGCCAGGCUUUUAACCCAGUAUGUAUAGGUAUCUAGUAUAGGUUGCUAAGUAUUUUUAUAUGAGGGUAAGGAAAUGCUUAUUGUGUGCUUUAUGUAAGGAAUGCGAGAAGCUAUGCAGCAGGCAGUGUUUACAAUUGCAUUAAUAAUAUUCCUGAGUAUUCUGCUCUGCUUUGCCAAAGACUUUUGAAUGUAUUAUAAUGUCUUGUUAAAUUGUUGAAUAAAUGUGUGUGUAUAAACA